rnacentral:tRNA from 1 species
GCCGCUAUAGCUCAGUGGCUGAGCGUUGGUCUCGUAAACCAAAGGUCGCAAGUUCGAAUCUUGUUGGCGGGA